GACGAACGCUGGCGGCGUGCUUAACACAUGCAAGUCGAACGGAAAGGCCCCUUUGGGGGUACUCGAGUGGCGAACGGGUGAGUAACACGUGAGUAACCUGCCCUUGACUUCGGGAUAACUUCAGGAAACUGGGGCUAAUACCGGAUAGGAAUCCUUGCUGCAUGGUGGGGGUUGGAAAGCUUCGGCGGUUUUGGAUGGACUCGCGGCUUAUCAGCUUGUUGGUGGGGUAGUGGCUUACCAAGGCUUUGACGGGUAGCCGGCCUGAGAGGGCGACCGGCCACAUUGGGACUGGGAUACGGCCCAGACUCCGACGGGAGGCAGCAGUGGGGAAUAUUGCACAAUGGGCGGAAGCCUGAUGCAGCAACGCCGCGUGCGGGAUGACGGCCUUCGGGUUGUAAACCGAUUUCAGCAGGGGCGAAGCUUGUGGUGACGGUACCUGCAGAAGAAGCACCGGCUAACUACGUG
rnacentral:rRNA from 1 species